CCCUUGAAGACGACGAGGUAGAUAGGUUGGAGGUGGAAGUGCAGUAAUGCAUGGAGCUGACCAAUACUAAUCGGUCGAGGGCUUAUCCUACAA
rnacentral:rRNA from 1 species